ensembl:rRNA 5S_rRNA 5S ribosomal RNA
GCUUACGGCCAUACCAACCUGAAAACGCCCAAUCUCGUCUGAUCUCGGAAGCUAAGCAGGGUCGGGCCUGGUUAGUACUUGGAUGGGAGACCACCUGGGAAUACCAGGUGCUGUAAGCU